GGGGAACCAGGACUUUUACUGUGAAAAAAUUAGAGUGCUCCAGGCAGGCCUAUGCUCGAAUACAUUAGCAUGGAAUAAUAGAAUAGGACGUGUGGUUCUAUUUUGUUGGUUUCUAGGACCGCCGUAAUGAUUAAUAGGGACAGUCGGGGGCAUCAGUAUUCAAUUGUCAGAGGUGAAAUUCUUGGAUUUAUUGAAGACUAACUACUGCGAAAGCAUUUGCCAAGGAUGUUUUCAUUAAUCAGGAACCAAAGUUAGGGGAUCGAAGACGAUCAGAUACCGUCGUAGUCUUAACCAUAAACUAUGCCGACUAGGGAUCGGACGGUGUUAUUUUUUGACCCGUUCGGCCCCUUACGAGAAAUCAAAGUGCUUGGGCUCCAGGGGGAGUAUGGUCGCAAGGCUGAAACUUAAAGAAAUUGACGGAAGGGCACCACCAGGGGUGGAGCCUGCGGCUUAAUUUGACUCAACACGGGGAAACUCACCAGGUCCAGACACAAUGAGGAUUGACAGAUUGAGAGCUCUUUCUUGAUUUUGUGGGUGGUGGUGCAUGGCCGUUCUUAGUUGGUGGAGUGAUUUGUCUGCUUAAUUGCGAUAACGAACGAGACCU
rnacentral:rRNA from 1 species